rnacentral:hammerhead_ribozyme from 1 species
AUCUAGUUGACUAGUCCCAAAUAGGACGAGAUGCGCGUCUUGUAU